GCCGUAACAGGCACUGGAGGACCGAACCAGUUUCCGUUGAAAAGGAUUUGGAUGACUUGAGGGUAGGGGUGAAAGGCCAAUCAAACUGAGAAAUAGCUCGUACUCCCCGAAAUGUAUUGAGGUACAGCGUCGGCGUCGAGGUCAGUGGAGGUAGAGCUACCAAUAGGACUAGGGGGUGUCAGAGCCUACCGAAUCCUGAUGAACUCCGAAUGCCACUGGCUAUAGCCGGCAGUGAGGCCUGGGGUGCUAAGGUCCCCGGCCGAGAGGGAAAGAACCCAGACCAACCGCUAAGGUCCCCAAAUCUAGAUUAAGUUGAACAAAGGAGGUCCAGUUGCUUUGACAGCCAGGAGGUUGGCUUGGAAGCAGCCAUUCCUUUAAAGAGUGCGUAACAGCUCACUGGUCGAGCGACCGGGCAUCGAUAAUACGCGGGCAUCAAAUCUAGUACCGAAGCGUUGGAUGUGAUGUGCAAGACCAUCACGUGGUAGGGGAGCAUUCUCCUUGCGGUGAAGCCGCGUCGUCAGGCGCGGUGGAGCGUGGAGAAAAGCAUAUGUAGGCAUGAGUAACGAUAAUGCGGGUGAGAAACCCGCACGCCGAUAGACUAAGGUUUCCAGCUCAACGCUAAUCGGAGCUGGGUUAGUCGGGACCUAAGGGGCAGCCGAAGGGUGAACUCGAUGGACAGCAGGUUAAUAUUCCUGCACCGAUGAAUGCAAGUGAUGCAGUGACGCAGAAGUGAAAGCACCGCGGGCGGACGGAAGUGCCCGUUGAAGGCCGUAGGUAGUGGGACCGUAGUUAAGUACGCGGACCUAGCCGAACGCUGAUAGUACCGCACGACCUUCGGGUCACGCGGAUAGUGUGCCUAAUCCGACUGCCAAGAAAACCUGCUAAGCGUUUUAACGCAUUUAUCGCCCGUACCGCAAACCGACACAGGUAGUCAAGGAGAGCAUCCUGAGGCGCUCGAGUGAAUCACGGCCAAGGAACUCGGCAAAAUGGACCUGUAACUUCGGGAGAAGGGUCGCUUCCUCUGCGCAAGCAGAGAAGCCGCAGUGAAAAGGCCCAGGCGACUGUUUAACAAAAACACAUGGCUUUGCUAACGCGCAAGCGGACGUAUAAGGCCUGACACCUGCCCGGUGCCGGAAGGUUAAGAGGGGACGUUAGCCGCAAGGCGAAGCGUUGAAUCGAAGCCCCGGUAAACGGCGGCCGUAACUAUAACGGUCCUAAGGUAGCGAAAUUCCUUGUCGGGUAAGUUCCGACCUGCACGAAUGGUGUAACGAUCUGGGCGCUGUCUCAGCCGUGAGCUCGGUGAAAUUGUAGUCUCGGUGAAGAUGCCGAGUACCCGCCACGGGACGGAAAGACCCCGUGCACCUUUACUAUAGGUUGCCAUUGGUGGUGGGUUCAGUAUGUGUAGCAUAGGCGGGAGGCGCUGAGCCGGGGACGCUAGUUCUCGGGGAGCCGACGUUGAAAUACCGCCCUUACUGUGCCUGCUGCCUAAUCCCGGACGACCGGGAGACAGUGGCUGCUGGGUAGUUUGACUGGGGUGGUCGCCUCCAAAAGAGUAUCGGAGGCUUUCAAAGGUCCGCUCAGUCCGCUUGGUAACCGGACGCAGAGCGCAAUAGCAGAAGCGGGCUUGACUGUGAGGCCGACCAGCCGAGCAGGGUCGAAAGACGGAUAUAGUGAUCCGGUGGUUCCGCAUGGAAGGGCCAUCGCUCAAAGGAUAAAAGGUACGCCGGGGAUAACAGGCUGAUCUCCCCCAAGAGCUCAUAUCGACGGGGAGGUUUGGCACCUCGAUGUCGGCUCGUCACGUCCUGGGGCUGGAGAAGGUCCCAAGGGUUCGGCUGUUCGCCGAUUAAAGUGGCACGCGAGCUGGGUUCAGAACGUCGUGAGACAGUUCGGUCCCUAUCUGUGGUGGGCGUUGGAAAUUUGACAGGACCUGUCCUUAGUACGAGAGGACCGGGAUGGACCAGCCGCUGGUGCGCCGGUUGUACCGCCAGGUGCAGCGCCGGGUAGCUACGCUGGGACGAGAUAAGCGCUGAAAGCAUCUAAGUGCGAAACUCCCCUGGAGAUGAGAUUUCCCAAUAUGAAGGCCCGUCGGAGAUGACGACGUGGAUAGGCGGCAGGUGAACCAGCAGAAAUGCAAUAGCUGAGCCGUACUAAGUGGCCGAGGGCUUCGCGUA
rnacentral:rRNA from 1 species